rnacentral:lncRNA from 1 species
UACAAAUGCUUUUGUCGCUGAUGCAGCACAUGAUGAAAACACAGCUAGCUAGCUCAUAAACUUUCAUGAUCUAAAAAUGUCUAAAAUACAGUUGAGGGGUUUCCUCAACGAGAGAUCAACAGCUGCUACUGAGGAGAUGUAAUGGUUAGUAAAACAAAACGAUAGUGUCAGGAGGAAGUUGUUUUCAGAGGCUGCUCGACAUUGUUCUUCAACCAAAGAUAAAGCUAACGUUGCACAGAGCAGGUGCUUGUUGGAGUUGGAGAGAGAAGGAGGCAAGGACAGGAAGGUGGUCACUUCCCACGUCUUGGCUGACGGAGAAGCUAAGAAGUUUAGCAGCCAAGUCCGGGGAGCAGAGGACAAGAUCAAGGAUGUCUGCCGUGGAGGUUGAAGAAUGGAUGUGUGUGGGCUCGUUGGUGUUGAGGAUGGCCAGGUUUGUGCUGUCGAGGAUAUCCCUUAAUACUCUUCCCGAGUGAUUUGUAGUAAACUACAAUCGAUAACUCUCACCAGAGGGGGAGAGCUAGACUACACGGUGC